UACGGGGGGGGCAAGCGUUGUUCGGAAUUACUGGGCGUAAAGGGUUCGUAGGUGGCUCGCUAAGUCAGACGUGAAAUCCCUCAGCUUAACUGGGGAACUGCGUCUGAGACUGGUGAGCUUGAGUGCAGGAGAGGAACGCGGAAUUCCAGGUGUAGCGGUGAAAUGCGUAGAGAUCAUGAGGAAGACCAGUGGCGAAGGCGGGUCUCUGGACAGUUCCUGACACUGAGGCACGAAGGCCAGGGGAGCAAACGGG
rnacentral:rRNA from 1 species